AGCCCUGGCCAGAAGGAGAGUGGGGCCCAGGUGUACCGACCAGGUGUGACACAGGAGAGGCAGCACAGUAAAACACAUGGAUCACAGAUCCCAGACAGAAGAGGGCAGCAGUCCUGGCAGGAACAACAAGAAGAGGACAGAUGAAAAGAACAUGGCUGCCGAAAUCCAAUUCAAACUGGAUUAAAUGAAAAUAGAAUUAAUUGGCACGAAGAAGAAGAAGAAGGCAAGAGCUUCAAGCACAGCUGGAUCCAGGAUUCCAAUAAUAUCCCAGGGCACAAGAUAAGCCACAAAUACUGUCCAGGUCCCUCUGUGUGUCCAGCACUGAGCCACACAUAUCCAUGGUCAUCUCCCUGAGUCCCCACAAAAGGUCUCACACUCAUCCACAUGGAAACUGAGGUCCAGAGAGAAGUGAGAACAUGCUCAAGGCCACUGAUGGCUGGGACCAGGACUCAGGUACAAGCCCCACGCCAAGACUAUAAUUCACAGCUCACCUUGCACCAGAGGAGGACCUGAAAGUGGCUUCAUCUUCCAUAUCCAGCCCUCUGUCUGGCACUGUGGAUCCCCAGAUGAUUAAGGCAUGGCAUCUGCUGUGAGAGACAGACAGACAGACAGACAGACAGAUAGGCAGAGAAGAGGAUAAACAACUGCUCUCCCAGUCCAGGCAAACCUGUGGAGCCAACACAUCCUCUGGACUUGGUUUGCAGGUCUUUUGCAGGGAACCAACACCAUCACUCUUCUCCUAGAAACAAGAGGCUCUAGGCCGGGACAAGGCCUAUCACUUCUGGACAUCUAGACCAGCCACCAAAUGGUCUAGCUGACUCAACCUGGGAAGCUGGGACAAAGAAGGGGAAUCAGGAAAAUCAGAAACUCCUGUGGCCAGGCAAGCUCCAGUGACCAAGGUGUGAUCAUCCCAGCGCUGAAAAGAUCACACCAACCCUGUGUCUCCCACACCAACCGAAGUGUCCCCACUGUGCAAGAAGUUGGGGUGUAAAGACCUCAGAGAGAACUAAGUUGGAGUUCAGAUCCAAACUCCAUUUCUUCUGUAACAUGGCAACUGAGUUUCUGUUCAUUCCUUUGGAGAUUGAGGACAUAACACCUUAUCUCCCUGGGCUGUCGUAUGUUCAUAAUGUUCACAAUAAUGUAUGUGAAAGGCCUGAGACCGUAUCUGUACCUAGCAGAUUCUCAAUAAGUAUUGUUAACUUCUGCCUUCAUUUCUUCAAGUGUGUGACAAAUUGGCCUUUUAUCUGCCCUACCUCUCAGGACAGAGAAGGGUCCAGUGUUUCUCACUGUGGGAACAGAAAAGGGGACACUUUCCUUCUACCACCAGGAGUAUGACCCAUGUCUUCAAAGUAACUGCUAUGGCCAGAGACUGAAAGCUUUUCACCCAGAGAG
rnacentral:lncRNA from 1 species